rnacentral:rRNA from 1 species
UGGGGAAUAUUGGACAAUGGGCGCAAGCCUGAUCCAGCCAUGCCGCGUGAGUGAUGAAGGCCCUAGGGUUGUAAAGCUCUUUCACCGGUGAAGAUAAUGACGGUAACCGGAGAAGAAGCCCCGGCUAACUUCGUGCCAGCAGCCGCGGUAAUACGAAGGGGGCUAGCGUUGUUCGGAUUUACUGGGCGUAAAGCGCACGUAGGCGGACUUUUAAGUCAGGGGUGAAAUCCCGGGGCUCAACCCCGGAACUGCCUUUGAUACUGGAAGUCUUGAGUAUGGUAGAGGUGAGUGGAAUUCCGAGUGUAGAGGUGAAAUUCGUAGAUAUUCGGAGGAACACCAGUGGCGAAGGCGGCCCACUGGACCAUUACUGACGCUGAGGUGCGAAAGCGUGGGGAGCAAACAGG